UACGAAGGGGGGCUAGCGUUGCUCGGAAUGACUGGGCGUAAAGGGCGCGUAGGCGGUUUGUACAGUCAGGUGUGAAAUUCCCGGGCUCAACCUGGGGGCUGCACUUGAUACGUAUGGACUGGAGUGGGGAAGAGGGUCGUGGAAUUCCCAGUGUAGAGGUGAAAUUCGUAGAUAUUGGGAAGAACACCGGUGGCGAAGGCGGCGACCUGGUCCUUGACUGACGCUGAGAAGCGAAAGCGUGGGGAGCGAACAGG
rnacentral:rRNA from 1 species